AGCAGCCGCGGUAAUUCCAGCUCCAAUAGCGUAUAUUAAAGUUGUUGCAGUUAAAAAGCUCGUAGUUGAAUUUCGGAAUCAAUAUAUCGGUCGUGCCUCUGGUACGCACUUAUUUAUUGAUUUCUCACUUCUGACGAAUCAUAAUGUCAUCAGUUUGGUGUUAUGAGGAAUCAGGACUGUUACUUUGAAAAAUUAGAGUGUUUAAAGCAGGCUCGCGCUUGAAUACAUUAGCAUGGAAUAAUGAAAUAGGAUGUUUGAUCUUAUUUUGUUGGUUUCUAGGAUCGACAUAAUGAUUAAUAGGGAUAGUUGGGGGCAUUAGUAUUCAAUUGUCAGAGGUGAAAUUCUUGGAUUUAUUGAAGACUAACUACUGCGAAAGCAUUUGCCAAGGAUGUUUUCAUUAAUCAAGAACGAAAGUUAGGGGAUCGAAGACGAUCAGAUACCGUCGUAGUC
rnacentral:rRNA from 1 species